GAUGAAGAAGCAGCGAAAUGCGAUAAGUAAUGUGAAUUGCAGAAUUCAGUGAACCAUCGAAUCUUUGAACGCACAUUGCGCCCGGCAGUAAUCUGCCGGGCAUGCCUGUCCGAGCGUCAUUUCUGCCCUCGAGCCUGUCCAGCAUCUAGGUGCUGUUCCGGCCCGGCGUUGGGGCACUACGGGAAGCCUCGUGCUAUCCCCCGUAGGCCCCGAAAUGAAGUGGCGGUCCUGCCGCGGCUCCCCCUGCGUAGUAUUACAGCUCGCUUCGGGACCCGGUGGAGGCCUGCCGUCAAACCUUACUCUCUAAGUUUGACCUCGGAUCAGGUAGGGUUACCCGCUGAACUUAAGCAUAUCAUAAGCGGAGGA
rnacentral:misc_RNA from 1 species